rnacentral:rRNA from 1 species
UACGGAGGGUGCAAGCGUUAUCCGGAUUCACUGGGUUUAAAGGGUGCGUAGGUGGGUUGGUAAGUCAGUGGUGAAAUCUCCGAGCUUAACUUGGAAACUGCCAUUGAUACUAUCAGUCUUGAAUAUUGUGGAGGUCAGCGGAAUAUGUCAUGUAGCGGUGAAAUGCUUAGAUAUGACAUAGAACACCAAUUGCGAAGGCAGCUGGCUACGCAUAUAUUGACACUGAGGCACGAGAGCGUGGGGAUCAAACAGG